rnacentral:lncRNA from 1 species
CAAGUAGUUGGAGUUUUGAGCUGGUUCUAUUGUACCUACCAUUGAAUUUUUUGAUCUCUUUUUUUUUUCUUCAGUUUUCUGGUGUAUAAUUGCCAUUGAAAAAUGAUCAAAUGUUCCACUUUCAAUUUAGUCAACUCAGUUUGUUUGAGCAAUCAUUUGUCUUGCUGUCUUAUAUUGUCUUGUAGUUUUAAUUUGUUUGUGUCACAAAGAUGUAGGGAUGAUAGAACUCAAAAGCGUAAAAGGGGUAGUCUGGUGCACAAAACAUUCUGUGUUAGCUAAGUUCAGGAAGGGCUGCAACUCAAGAAGUGUGAUGUAGACAACCUAAUACAAUGCAAGCAUUAGAGACUGUCUUCACGCUUCGAACUCGUGACCUAUAAAGUCGAUUUUAUGGUUGUUUUUGAACUUCUAUGCUUUUUAGCAAGAGAGUUUGAAUCUCGUGUGUCUACUAUAUCAACACAAAUAUUCUUUCAAAGUGAGUCGUGUUUCAUGAAUCAUGAGUAUGAUUAUAUCUAUUUUAGUUAAAGUUCUUAUCGUUCGACUCUCAAAAAGUAAACUAUGACAAUUAAAAAGAACAGAGAGAAUAUAUUUGAAAAACUCUUGUCUUGAUGCAAUUAAAUAAGGCCAAUUAGGACACAAUACUUUGAAUUUUGAAAUGGUAUUUUAAAGAGUAAAAAGACAAAAAACAGUGACCAAGAAACAUGGGAUUCCACUGCCCAAUUGAACUCUUUUUAGCCAGAUUUUGACUUUAAUAUUGUUGACUCACUCACUGACUUUUUGAGCUUUUUCGAAAGGUCAAAAUAAAACUUUUUUACUUUUUGGUUAAUUUUUCAAAAAUUAUAUUUGACUUUACUCAUGUAAUUACAGUAUUACAUUAUUAUUAUUGUCUAUAAUAAUAUUUUGUUGUGAUAUUAUUUAAAAAAAAUAUCAAUUCAAACGAUGCUAUUAUAGAAAAGCUUAAAGAUUUGAAAUAGCAAUAAGGCAGUACUAUAAAGUUGUUUGUGUUUAAAUUAAAGUGCAGUGAAUUUGCUGCCAAAAAGGUUGUUUUACUCACGUGUAAACUAAAGACAACUUUAAGACAGAAAUUAAUGAAAUCUUUCUUUAGGUCCCAUUUAUUACUUUUAGAAUAAUUGUUUCAAAUUAUUUAUUAUUUUAAAAAUUUAAGGAAAAUUGAUUAAAUUUUUUAUUUUACUUUUAAUAGUAAUUAUUCUUGAAAACUAUAAAUACUUUAAUUAUGAAAUGACGACAAAUAAAUUGAAUUAGGACAAAUAAAAAUUAGAUAGUCAAAAUUCUUUUUAAGUAUUGUUUUUAAAAAUGUGCAAAAAUAGAAUACUAUAGAUAAUUUAAAACGUAUAGCAGUGUUGUCUCCCUAAUUAAUACAAAAUGCAUACAUUUUCUUGCCUGUUGGUCAGUGGUAGCUAGGAAUUCAUUCAUUCUUUUUUCUUUGUUUGUAAGGACUCUUUCUUGUUGAAUAUAUAUAUAUUUUUCGAUUGUUUAAUCAUAAAUUUUGAAAUUAAAACUUGAAAUGUGAAUCUUUUGAAGUUGUAUCUAUUUUACCAUCUAAAUUAACAACCUUCAUCUUUCUUUUUUUUACUUUUAAAGUAUUAGUAUGAAGUUUUUAUUCUUUUUUAAUUUAUAUUGUUAGACUUACCUACAGAAUAAGAAAAAAAAAACUUAUUAUGAAGUAAAAAGUGAAAAAAUAGUUGAAGAACUAUUAGUGUUUCACAACAAAGAAUAAGGAUUAUUUUAAUUCAAAUCCCAAUCUUAAGAGACUAUUAGUUUUUGAAUAUGUAUUUAUUAAUUUUAAUUUUAAUAUAUUGAAUUAAUCAAAUCAACAUUCAAAUAGUAACAUUAUAUCUUCAAUUUUGCAGAAAUAAUCAACUUCCAAUUAGUCAAUAUGAAAUUAAUUCCAUAUUUUAAUAGAUUUUAAAAGAACAUUUUUGUAGAGCAAUUGAAUAAAUAAUUGUUGUAUUAAAUAAAAAAAAUACAUAAAAUAAAUAUAAUCUGAAUAUAUGAAUUCAAAGUAUAUAUUGAUAAUUGAAACUGAACUUUAUUAAUGAUAUUCAAAUUCUUUAGUUAUUUAUACAUCAAUAAAGCUCGCAACAUAAAACUUAUCUUAUAAGUGUUUAUUAAGAAAAAACAUAAUGUUUUUCCUAAUAAAACAUUAUUAUUAUUGAAAAUUUAUCAUUAGUGACAAUUAUCAUGACAUGCUUGUUGAAAUGAAUAACAUAUAUUUGGUUUAUCCAAUUCACAACACCAAAGUUCUGGUGGUUCAGAAGCCUUGAAGCAUGGAUCGAAAUCUUUCACCCCGACUGUUAUACUUUCAUCACCUGUAUUUUAUAAAAAAAUAUAUAAGAUUAAUUGACUUCUAUGUACUAAUCGUUUAUAACAAUUUAAAUAAUAAUAAGUAUAAAAUAUGAACAUACAUUGAUGGAGAGCCAGCAGAGAAAAUAAAAUUACGCAAAGUAGCAAAAUUGAUAAAAAGGAGAAUUUUAUAGUGGCCAUGAAAAAUAUAAUUUGAUGUUCGAAACUCAAAAGAUAGUGAAAAAUAUGUAUGAAAUUGUCCAAAAUAUAUAGCCAUUGCAAUUGCUUGAUUUUGGUAAAUGAUGCAAACUAAUAAUUAAUUAAUCAAGUUAUUUCCUAAUCUAUACAUCCAUAGAAUCAAGGAUAUAAAAUAAAUUGGGGAAAAAAAUUAAAUAUAUCUUACUAAUUCAUUCAACAUUUUUAUAAAUUAUUUAAUUUCCUAAAAUAACUCUUCCAUUUCCUUUCACUACACCUCAUUAAUAUAUUUUAAUUUAUUUUCCUAAUAAAUUGCGCAAUGUGAAUUUUAUUUUGGAAAAUUGUAUGAAAUAGCAAACUAUUGAUUCAAAUUAAAUGUUAUAGCCAUAGUUUAUUUUAUUUGUAAUUCACAGCAAACAUCCCAUUUUUUUGCCAUUUGGUUCGGUAUACAAUUACCCAUAUACAAAUGUAUAAAAUGCGUUUGUGUUUGUAUAAAGCGAGAGAAAAGUGUGUAUACAAAAUACAUAUAUUUUCGUCCUAUACACUUAUAAUUAUUACAAAUUACAUAUCUUAUUAUACAAAUUCAAUAUAUAAAUAAAUUUAUACAAAACUGAACAAUUUGUAUAAAAUUGGAUGUAUCUAGCGAUUAUGCAAACUAUAACUAUAACAUACAAAUAUGAUUUUUAUGUUUGCUAUAUGUGAAAGUUGCUCUUUUAUUUUUUGAUGAAAAAUGAAUAAAUGUGUGUUUGAAUUUUUUUUUCCCUUUUUAAAAUCAAGUAAUUAGUGAGUAAGGUAAAUAAUACGAAAAAUAAAUUGGGGUUCAUAGAACCAGCAUAGUUCAGAUAUGAAAAUUUGACAACUUUGUCAUGAUUUAAGUGUGUUGCAAUGCCUUAAUAUUCCUAGUUUUUAUGAAGCUUCAAUUCAAUUAAAGCCUUAAUUUUUUGAAUUAAAACGAGAGAAAAUUUGAAAAUUUGAAAAAUUAGAUAACUGGUAAUUCUUGUUCAUGAGAGGUGUCACAUCAUUAUUUUUAUGACCAAAAUUAUAUAAAUGAUAUAAAUUUCAAUUUAUUUCAUUCGAUGUGAUUGUAAUCGACCAAUAAUUUCUUUAUGCUUUUGUCUAAUUUCAUUAGAAACAUGUGUCAAAAUCAAGCAUCAUUUGUCACAUUUAUAACAACCUAAUAUGCUUAACGUUAUUGUUGAAUAUGAGAAUAAUUAGUAGUUUUAAGGAUAUUUUUUUUAAGAAUCGUGCGAGUUACGCAUAAAGUGAAUAAUAUCACAUGAUAUUAAAAGUAUUUUUGAGUAAUUAUAAGCGAUGUCACAUUUUUAAAACGUCAAUUAAUCACUAUAAAGAUAUGAGAGAUGAGAAUAAUAAUAUUUACAAAUGACAUAAAAAUCUAAAUUUUUGUGAAGCAUAAAGCAAUGAGUUUAUUUGCCUUACAUUUGAGCCAACGCUAUAAACUCUUACACGUUUUUUUUAAAACUAAAUAUUAUUUUUUUAUUUCAUUAUAUUUAAGCAAAAUCAUAUUUCAAUUCAUGUGAGAGUCAAAUUAGUUAGGCCAUUAAUAUGUAAUCUAAAAAGUCAUGGUAAACAGUCAAAGAUGGAAUUGAUUCCAUAUUACUCCAUUAAUCUUUAGAAAAAUAAAAUAAUUAAUUAAUAUGAAAUAAGAAAAGUAAAAAAUAGUCGAAAAAGAAGAAAAAGAAUCUUAUUUAUGAUUUAAAAAAGUAAAAAAAAAUAGUCGAAGGAAUAUUAGUGUUUCACAACAAAGAAUAAGGAUUAUUUUAAUUCAAAUCCCAAACUUAAGGGACUAUUUUGAACAUUUCCUUUCACUUUUAAAACUUGAGUAACUUUAUUGGAACGAAAAAAUAAAUAAAUAACUUUACUAGGUAAUUUCAGUAAAUUGAGUGGUCAAUCAAGAAUUUGUAUAUUAAUUUUAAUAUAUUGAAUCAAAUCAACAUUCAAAUAGUAACAUUUUGUCUUCAGUUUUGCAGAAAUAAAUCAACUUCCCAUUAUUCAAGAUGAAUUAUUUCCACAUUUUGUUCGAUUUUAAAAGAUUUAUUUUGUAGAGAAAUUAAUCAAUUGAUUAAUCGAUGUUCAAGAACUUUUUUUAAAAGAAGAUUUGAACAACUCAUUUGGUUGUUUUUGCAAGUAUUUGACUCAUUUCGAUUAUGAAUUAUAAUUAAGUUCUUGCGUUAUGAAAAAAAUAAUGCACACAAUAAAUUUUAAAUAAAUAAUGCACACAUUAAAUUUCAAAUAAAUGAAAUAUGUAAGAUAAAUAUAAUCAAAAUAUCUAAAAUUUUGAAGUAAGUAUUGAUAAUUGAAACUAUAAUUUUAUUAAUGAUAAUCAAGUUCUUUUAUUUGUGUUACCCAUCAACAAAACUACCAAUAUAAAACUCAUGUGUACUGAUUAUUGAGAAUAAACGUAAUUAAGGAUUUCUCUAAUUAACAUUAAGAACAUUCUGCAUGACAUGCACCAAUAGAAUCAUAGCAUUUGAGUGGUUCAAACAACUUGCAACACCAUUGGGGUGGGUUGGUUUGAUCAUUUUCGAUGCAUGGAUCGAUUGGUUUCGUUUUUAUCCUUAUUCUUAUACGUGCAUCACCUGUAUUUCAUAAAAACAGAAAAUAUAUAAGAUCUGACAAAGCAUAAAAGUUAUUUUUACAUACGUUUAUCGCCUGUAUUUCAUUCCUUUUUCUUGAAAAAUGUUCAUAGAAAUAAUAAUAAAUAUAAAAGAAUGGAUAUGAACCUACAUUGAUGAAGAGCCAACAUAGAAAACAAAACUAUGCAAAGUAGCAAAGCUGAUUGAAGGGAAAUUUUAUAGUGGCCAUUAAAAAUAUAAUUUAGUGCUCAAAACUCAAAAGAUAAUGAGAAAUAUGUAUGAAAUUGUUUAGAAUAUAUAGCCAUUUAAAAUACUUAAUUUUGGUAAGUGACACAAAUUAUUAGUUAAUUAAUCAUAUUAUUUCUUAAUUUGUAUAAUGAAAUAUUUUAGAAUAUAUUGCCAUUGAAAAUACUUGAUUUUGGUAAGUGGCACAAAUUAUUUGUUAAUUAAUCAUAUUAUUUCUUAAUUUGUAUAAUGAAAUAUUUUAGAAUAUAUAGCCAUUGAAAAUACUUGAUUUUGGUAAGUGACACAAAUUAAUAGUUAAUUAAUCAUAUUAUUUCUUAAUUUGUAUAAUUAAAUAUUUUAGAAUAAUAUAUAUUCAUUGAAAAUACUUGAUUUUUAUAAGUGACACAAAUUAUUUGUUAAUUAAUCAUAUUAUUUCUUAAUUUGUAUAUUCAUAGAAUUCUGAAUUUUAAGAGAUCAAAAUCUCUAUUUUUUUAAUUUUUCAAUUUUGAUACUUUUUUCUUAUUUCAUACAUGUGAAAAAUGGGGGAAAAUUAAAUAUAUCCUAAUAAUCUCAUCAUUAUAAUUUAUUUCAUUUCCUAAAAUACUCUUUUGUCUUCUUUUAUUAUUGUCUGUUUGAAUUAACUUUUGACUUUUUAUUUAUAAGUCAAAAAUUAAAAAUUUUAUAAACAAAAAAUUAUAAAGAAAUUUUAAUUUAUGAUUUUUGACUUAUUUUUUAUUAUUGUAACUUAAAAGCACCUUUAAAUUUUACCUAAAUAUUAAAAGAGUGUUUUAAAAAUUAUUUUGACUUAAAAACAUUUCAAAUAAGUCAAUUCAAACAGGCUAUUCCUCAUUAAUAUCAUUUAAUCCAUUUCCUAAAAUUUAUUUUUUAUUUUGGUAAAAACUUGGUGUGUGAAAGUGUACAAUCUGAUUAAUUGCAAUGUGUAUUUUAAUUUUGGGAUGAAAGAAUAAAUAAGCAUGUGUUUGCAUAUGUGUUUUAACUUAUUUUUCUAUCAAAUAAAAUGAAGGGGGUAAAUAUUAUGAAAAAAAUAAGUUCAAGAGGUUCGUAAAAUCUCACAUAGUUUAGAUGUCUGAUAAUUUCGUCAUAGUUUAAGUGUGUUUGUAUGGCUUAUCUCUAGUUUUAUGAAGCUUCGAUUCAAUUAAAAUGAGAUGUUUUUUAUAUAUAUAAAAAUUGAGAAAUUAGAUAACUAGUGAUUCUUGUUAGAGAUGUCAUGUCACUGUUUUUAUUCAUUGAAUUAUAUAAAUAUUUAUUUAUUUCAUUCGAUGUGGUCGUAAUAUUCCAAUAAUUUCUUUAUUGUUUUUGUCUAAUUCCCACUAGAAACAUGACCCAAAAUCAAGUUUGUUUGAUCACAAUUCACAUUCAUAACUACCUAGUAUGCUUAACAUUAUUGUAAAAUGUGGAAAUAAAAUUUUACAUUAAUAACUAAAAAGAAAGCUAAGCUAUAUUUAAGGUGCAAUGAUAUUUUUAACGGAGUGAGUUAUUUUUGAGAAAAAAUACAAACAAAGCUUCGUUUAAAAGUAUAUUUGUGAAAUCUAUUCCAUUUUGCAUUAUUUAGAGGAAAAUCUGAUCCUAACUAAUAAUGACAAGGAUAUAUUUGACCCAACUAUUAAUAUAGGACAAAUUUACUCCUUGUAUAGUUCAAAAGUAAAUUUGAUCUUAACUAGUAACGACGAGUGCAUAUUUGACUCCAACUACUAGUAAAGGACAAAUUUAUUUCAUUUCGCAUAAUUCAAGAGCAAAUUUGACCCUUUACCUUACUUCUUUAUAAAGUUAGAGUAACUAGCUAGUGUUGGUGACACUUGCGCUUAAACCUUUCGUAUCCCAAACCACCAAUAUGUGUUUGUGUAAUAUAUUUUAUGAAUAACAAAGAUACAUGAGGUAAAGUUGAUAUUUUGGGAUCUUUACACAAAUAGUCAAUUGGAUUAACUAUUUAUUAUUUUUAGUCAGUAUAUUUAAAUAUUAUAUAAAAUCAUACACAUAUUGUACAUCUCUCAGCUUAUAAUAAGUUGAAUCAAUUUGAAGUAGCAAAUUAUUUUGGUGUUACCUUAUAUGCCCCGGAGCAUAAAAGGUUAGCACUACCUUAUGGUAACAAUUUUUUCUUCUAUUUUGCACCAACAUUAUAUGUUUGUUUGGGUCCAAUUGGUACUAUAUAUAUACAAUUUUUUUGCAUGGACUGCCUUAUUUAUAGGUGAUCUUGAUUUUUUAUCUCGCAAAUUCGUGAACUAUCAAGUAAGAGUAUAUAUGCUUGUUUGGGCCUAACGGUGAAAACAAUAAAUAUUAUAUCUAGAGAAAGCCUUAUACGUAAUGUGUCAACCUUAUAUAAAAGUGCAUGAUAGUGAAUGAAAAAUAUUUAUACACAAGUAUAGUUAAAUUGGAAUAACAAACUCAAACUAUGAGCUACAUGACGUAAAUAUUUUCUUUCUGGCAGACAUAAAACUUACGUUUUUGUUAUUUUCAAUGUGGUAGAAAAAUUGUUCAGUAAUUUUUUUUAUUGCUCGUCUAGUUUAGCAAAAGCAUCUUCAAAAAAUCCAAAUAUAUAUAUAUAAUUUUUUUUUUUUUUUGUGAGUUUCACAUCCUAACUAUUAUUUGUUUUUUUUAACCUGAACUUUCACCAUUUAUAUAUCAAACCACUAGAUAUUACUGUGAGUUUUACGCCGCAAAAGAAAUCACAUAGCUUCGCGUCUCCUGUUAUAAUUAAAUGCGUAUAAUUAUAUGUUAUCAUAAACUUUCAAAUACACAUAAUUUUACAAAUAUUCACUAGUUCAAUUAAUUAAUAUUAGUAGUAACUAGUUAUUCUCUAACACAAACCUCCCACGUGGUACAAAAAACCUCUUAACGUCGAACAAUGAAUUUUAUUUUUAUUUUUGCAAAAUUUAAAUGAGGGAUCUUUAUUUGAAAAAUAUAAACUUAUGAGUUAAGUUAUAUAUUUUUUUUAAAAAAUAAAAGAACAAUUUGAAAUUUGAAAUUAAAAUUUUAUUCACAUUUAGCAAAUGUUGAACUUCAAAUUUGAAUCCUAAAUUCUAUGACCAAACGCCUAUCAGAAGUGUAUUUGGGUGAAGGUCCUUCUACUCAUCUUUUUUUUUCUUCUUAUGUAGCUUUUUGUUUAUAAAAUAUAUCGCACAAAAGUAUAUUUAUACAUAUAGUUUGAUUCCAAUUAAUCUAAUGUGAAAAACUUAACGUAAAUGUCAAGAAUCGUAUAUCUAAAACUAUCUAAUUGAAGACAAACAUCCGUCAUUUCUUCAGCACAUUAAAUUACAAAUCAAUGGAUUAAAUUGAACUUAAUAGCUUAGAGAGUUUUUCUCUUUCUUGUUUUUCAUGAUAAAGCUAUAUAUUUAUAUGUUCGAUUGCUUUGUUUUUUUGUUGAGGGCCUAACUAUCAGAAAAGAAAUUCCUUUCUUCCAAGUUAAGAAAUGUUUUCCAAUAUUAAUCUAAAUAUUUAAUUAAUCACGUUCAUUUUAACUAUUCAAUACAUAUAAAAUAAUUAUACAUGAUUUCAAUAGAUUGUUUGCUACACAAAUUCAUCCAUCGUUGUAUCAUUUGGUGGUCAACAUGUGUUUUAGAUGAAUAAGAUACAUUUGUUUAUUUUCAUUGCUUGCAAAGCAAAGUUAUUAGACCUAUUAGUACCAUGCAAUAGGUCUUAUUGAAUUUUUCGAUCUCAUGGAACAGAUUUGACAAUUAAAAAAAUAAUCAAAUAGAGAAAAAAUAAAAUUGUCCUUAACAGUUGUCGUUGCAGAUGUUAUUUUACCACUAAUAACUCUCUAUUAUGGAUCUUUGUAUAAAUUUAAUUUCCAUUUAUUUAUUUUUUUGCUUAUCAAUUUCUCUCCUUUUUUUUUAGUAUAUUGAGAUUCUUUUUUGUUUUGAUUCAGAAUCAUUGAAAAAUGAGAUUUAAAUGUGAUUUAGAGUCUACUAAUGGGAGAUUGCAUAAAAAUAAUAAUAAGAAUAUAGAAUGCAAAAAAAUUAAUCUCAAGUGGUAAUAUGUGAAAAUUUUACUAAGCUAAACUAAGGAGAUACAAAUGGAAUCGAACCCUCAUCAAUAAGGUGAGAGUACAGGGAACCAACUAACUAAACUACUAAGAUGAAGAAAAGUUCAUAGACAACACCAGCAAGCCCACCACCAACAAUGGGCCUAGCCCAAUAUAACUAAUGAUGAGUCCAUGCCCAACUAACCAAAGUUGACCCAAAAGAAACAAUAGGGUUCAUUGAUGCUCCAUCAAAAGCCCCAUCAACAAGAAUAUUGACCCAACAAUAGCAAUUGGAGCAAUUUCCUUAUAUCAAUUUCUCCCAUUUUUUUGGUCAAUAGCAAUUGCAUAAACAUGAAUUAGCCUAAGGAGGAGCUCACCUUUGAUUACUUAGUUGGUGAAGCAAUAGCUUAUCAAAUUCAUACGGUCUAUUCAAAUUGAUUAUACUCAAAUCAAGAAAAUGGUUAACUGCAUCAACGAUAAUAAAAAUGACUUCUUUAUAGGAACUUAUAAUUUCAAUAUGAUACAUAUUAUUUAAAUUCCGAACUAGAUAUAGUAAGAAAAUAAAUCUUGAGAAAUGAAAUAAACAAAUAAAGAUCAUUCCCACACCGUGUUUGCAAGACUAUAUGUUGAUUAGAUUUUAACUCGUUCCAUUAUUAACUAUUAGUUGUCCAAGGGCAUAAGUCCGAUAUUUCUGUUCUUAAAACUUUAUUUUCGGUGCGAUUACUUACUUCAUCACAAUUUAGAUACAUAUUUGUACUUCCUCCUGUAGAAAAAUAUGGUCAAUGCUUCUAAUUUUUCGUCUAAGUUAAGACUUUUUCAUUCGGAUGAAAUAAGCAAAAACCUUUCACUUUCAACAUAGGAAGUAAUAUCAUAACUUUAGUACAUAUAAUUAAAUAAAAUAAUCUCAAAAUUAUCUAAUACCUUAACCCAGGCUUCAACAAAAAACUGAAGAAUAACAAUAACAAGUAAAUAAAUUAAGUAAUUCCUCAUAUAAAAUUAUUGACUCUAGAGAUAAAAUAAUAUUAGAGAAGACAAGAAUUGUUUUGAGCACCAACAAAACCAAAAACAAUGCUUUAAAUUAAAUUUUAUCCCAAAAUUAAUAUUUUAUUUCACACACCAAACAACUUUUUAACUUUUAUGUUAUAAAAUUAAUAUACCUAGAAACUAUACAAAGUAUAAUAAAGCACCAUUUCAUAGUAAUUUUUUUUUUAAUAUACAUUUAAGAAUAUCAUAAAGUUGUUUAAUUAAUAAUUAUUAUAAAAAAUAUAUAGACACAGACAAAAUUUCAAGAAGCUAAUAAGAAAAAAAAUCCAAGAAAACUCAAAAGAUAAAAUCUUGUUUCUCAGCUAUCAAAACAUUAUCAUUUUAUCAAUUUAUCAUCUCAUCUUUCAGCCACCAUUGUGGCAGCAGCCAUGGCCGCCCACUCAAUCUUCACCACAACCAGCACUACCAAUUCUUUCUUAUACCCAAUUUCUUCUUCUUCCCCUAACAUUAACUCUUCUUUUCAUGGUGUUUCACUCAAUGUUAAGUCAAAUUUUCGCCAAUCUUUGACCCUUUAUGCUGUCAAUACUCCCAAACCCCUUACUGUUUUUGCUGCUACUAAGAAAGCUGUUGCUGUCCUUAAGGGCAACUCUAAUGUUGAGGGGGUUGUCACUCUAUCUCAAGAUGAUGGUGGUUGUUUACUUUUUCUUUGUUUAUGCUUUAAUUUGCUGUUUUUGGGGUUAUAUUUGUGGAUUGUGGCUUAAAGAUGUAAUCUUUAUUACUAAUGGCUUCAGACCCUUUUGUUUGAAUCUUUAUCUGUUAGCAUUUCCACCCUUUUGUGUUCUAAUUUACUGUUUUUUCUUGUCAUAUUUGUGGAUUGUGACCUAAAGUUGUAAUCUUUAUUACUAAUGUUUAAUACCCUUUUAUUUGAAUCUUUAUCUGCUUCCAUUUCCACACUUUUGUGCUUUAACUUUCCUACUGAUUUUUGUUAUGCUGUACUUGAGCUGAGGCCUGAGGGUCUGUUCGAAAUACCCUCUCUACCUUAAUAAGAUAGGGGUAAGGUUUGCGUACACACUACCAUCCCCAGACCCCACUUGUUGGAUUGUGAACUAAAGAUGUAAUCUUUAUUACUAAUGUUUCAUACCCUUUGUUCUGAAUCUUUAUCUGUUUAUUUUUCCACCCUUUUGUGUUCUAAUUUACUGUUUUUAGUUAUUUCAUAUUCGUAGAUUGUGACCUUAAGAAGUAAUCUUUUUUACAAAUGUUUCAUACCCUUUUAUUUGAAUCUUUAUCUGUUGAUUUGUCCAUCCUUUAUGCUCUAAUUUUCUCUUCUGUUGUCACAUUUGUGAUUGUGAACUAAAGAUGUAACCCUUUCUAAAUAUAUUUCAUACCCUUUUAUCUAAAUCUUUAUCUGUUUGCAUUUCCUACAUUUAUGCUCUAAUUUGCUCUUCUGUCAUCACAUUUAUGAACUAAAGAUGCUCUAAAGAUUUAAGCCUUUCUGAGUAUAAUUCGUACUCUUAUAUCUGAAUCUUUAUCUGUUUGCAUUUCCACCCUUUAUGCUCUAAUUUUUUUUCCCGUUUUCCACCCUUUAGCCUUUCUGAGUAUAAUUCGUCACCUUAGAUGUAAUCUUUAUUAAGAACUUUCGUACCCUUUUAUCUGUAUCUUUAUCUGUUUGCAUUUCCACCCCUUAUGCACUAAUUUGCUUUUCUGUUGUCACAUUGGUGGAUUCUGACCUAAAGAUAUAAGCUUUUCUUAGAGUAUUUUCACAGCCAUUUGUCCGAAUCUUUAUCUGUUACUUCUGUUACUACUCAUUAUGUCCUUAUUUGGUUUUGUAUUACAAUAAUUUUUGUUUGUGACCUAAAGAUGUAAGCUUUUAUAGGAAUAUUUCAUACCCUUUUGUAUUGAGUAUUUAUUUCUUUUUCUUCUUUGUAUAGGUCCAACUACGGUUAAUGUUCGUAUAACUGGACUUGCUCCUGGACUUCAUGGGUUUCAUUUAGUAAGUAAUGGUUGCUACAAUUUGAAUUGUACUGCUUUUCUUAUGUACUUGUUCUUGUGGCAAUUAUUGGUGAAUUUUGUUUAAUGUUAUGCUUUGGCUUGUGUUGCAUUGUGUUGUAGCAUGAAUAUGGUGACACUACAAACGGGUGUAUGUCUACAGGUUAGCUUCUGAUUUAGUUUGAAGUUUGAAUUAAUCGAAAUGUUGGUGAUUUGGAACUCCUCUUGUAAUGUACUAAAAAAAGUUGAAACUCUUCUAGUAGCUAGUUGGAAAUGACGUCUUUAGUUCUAGUUUUGCUGGUACUAGUUUGAAAUUUGUUCCCUUUUGUUUUACUGCAGGAGCCCAUUUCAAUCCCAAUAAAUUGACACAUGGAGCUCCUGGAGAUGAAAUCCGUCAUGCGGGUGACCUGGGAAACAUAGUGGCCAAUGCCGAUGGUAAAGUACAUGUUUUCAAUUCUUUCAUAGCUCUUUGAUUCUGUUUUUGUUUGUUAAGAUGGAUGAUGACUUUCUGGAUUCUUGAUUGUGCUUACUGUAUGCAGGCGUGGCUGAAGCAACACUUGUAGAUAAUCAGGUUGUUACAUUAACCUUGUCUGGACAUCGUCAUUCGAUCUCACUUUAUGUGCUCUAUGUUUGUUAUUGUUACAGUUUUAGGAUAAUUUACUGACUCUACCUUUUGUGCACCAAUUAGAUACCAUUGACCGGUCCAAACUCAGUUGUUGGACGAGCACUUGUAGUUCAUGAGCUUCAGGAUGACCUCGGAAAGGGUAAGGUUCUACAUUUUGUACAUUGAUCCAUUUUAAUCUGUGAAUUUGAAAAGGUUAUUUCUGCGAGUGUAUCAAAUUUAUUUGGUGCAUGCUAUACUACCUUUACAUUUUUUUGGAGGUCUCUGUGGUGCCUUCAUCUAACCCUCAUUUGGUGGUCUCUCUGUAGGUGGCCAUGAACUCAGCCUUACCACUGGCAAUGCUGGUGGACGAUUGGCAUGUGGUAAGAAGAAACACUCUUUUCUUCGCCUUUUCGCGCUGCUCUCUCUUCCUUCUUGUAUAAUUUCUAGACUGAUAUUAUUCCUGCUAAAUGAAAACAACAACAAUAACAUACUCAGUGUAGAGUGUAGUCCCACAAAGUGAGGUCUGGGGAGGGUUGUGUGUACACAGACCUUAUUUCUAUCCCUACCUCAGAGGUAGAGAGGCUUUCUCCGAUAGGCCUCGGUUCAAGGAAAAACAGUCCAAAGCAGUUCAGGAAAAGAAGUAACGGAAUUACAAAAAACAACAGAUAAUAACAAAACAAUAGAUAGUAACACAAUAGAAACUACAACAAAACAAUACCAUAAUCGAGGUACAAGGAAUCAACAAAUAGUAACAGAAAUCUAAGGACAAGAAAAUACGGGAGUAAUACUACAGUUACUAAUAUUAACGGACUGCAAGACACCACACUGCUAUCUACUAACCUAUGAAAUAAAAAGGCAAAGCUAAAAUUAGUAGAACUUAGCCUGGUAUUGUUUUAACCCCUAGUUGCAUAGUGUUUAUAAUGGUUAAUAAUCUUAAGAGCUCGUUUUGCAAGUGUUCCUUGACUAAAACUUUGACAGUGUUCAAUGUCUAGAACUUUAUUGGGCUAGGAAACGAAUGUUCGUUUUGCAAAAAGAAACAAGAUGCAUGCUAAGACUUCCUUUCGAAGAGGCAGCCUGUUUUGACCUGCUUUGGGUGAUUAUGCUUCUUUCUUUUUCUAAAUUAGCCUGACUAGUAAAAACAAUUUGGUGUGUAAGACAACCAAAAGUAAAAGGGUCCUCCUGGCAGAUUUUCAUUGAAUAUGUGGUGCAUUUUGUUUGGUUGAUAUCCUUCUGCAUAUAGCUAGUUUGCUUCUCUCUCCGUUUUCAGCUUAGCAGCAAUUAUAUAUAUAUAAUUUUUUUUUUUUUUUUAUGACAAGGGAAACCCGCAGCCGCUACCCUUUGGGUGCACACAAGGUAAAAACCCCGCUCCUAUGCAAUAGCUCGCAAACCACAUAGGAGAGGUAACCCUCACUAGGCAAGCCUGGUGCGACGAGCUCGACCCACCAACCCAGAAGGCAAACCCCUUGCUUUCGCUGGCAAGGGGUUUCGAACUUGAGACCUCCAACAUGGAAGUCCCAAGCCCAAACCAACAACACACAUGAAUUAUGUAACAACAACAUACCCAAUAGAAUCCCACAAGUGGGGUCUUCGGAGGAUAGUGUGUACGCAGACCUUAACCCUACCUUGGGAGGUAGAUAUGUUGUUUCCAAUAGACCUUCAGGCUUCAGCUUAAGAAAAUAACAUGAGUGAAGAAAUCAAGGCAAAAUACUAAACAAGGCAUGACAAAGCAUUCUGAAAAAGGAUAGUAACUACAGCUAUGUAAUAUAAUAAUCAAAGUACAAGGGAUAAUGACUAGUAACUUAAAUCGAAGAAACAAGAAACUACUAGAGUAAUACUAUGACUACUAGUAAGGAAGGAUAAGCAAGACAACACUCAUCUACCUACAACCUUCUACCCUAAUCUCUGUCCUCCAUAAUCUCCUAUCUAAGGUCAUGUCCUUGGUAAGCUGAAGUUGCACAGGAAUUGUGUAAAAUUAAAAAAUUAAGUUUACAUUUAAUAGAUGAACUCCAACAGUGUCGUUAACAUUUGCACUUCCCUGGAAGGGGUCAAUGAGCGAUCAAUAAGGCUCAUGGCUUACGCUGGUGAUUUCCAUUGCACUUUGGAAGGGUGCCAAGUUAAGGUAGGCCCAAGUCAGUUUUAAAAAAAAAACAUUUGCACUUCCCUGUGGAACCUAUUCAAUCCUUGUCCUUAUCUUCCCUCCUGGACACAAACAUCUCUGUUUUAUGUAUUUGUAGUUUUGUGGAGGGUAUUCUUCAUUUCUAGUUAAUGUGGUCAGAAUCAGAGUAUACUGUAUACCUGUUUCUAUGAGAAACUACUACUUCUAUGGCUUCUUAUCUUGCAACUUGUCUUCAAUAUUUUAUGUUUAUUUUUAUUUGUAUAUACAUGUGUGUGCGCUCGCGCAUAUGUCAAUGUGAAUAAACUUCAGGUCUUGGCACCCAAAAAAUAUCAGCCAAUAAAACACAGUUGGUCAUCCUUCGGGGUAGCCCAGUAGUUUGGGCUUGGGACUUCCAUGUUGGAGGUCUCAAGUUCGAACCCCUUGCCAGUGAAAGCAAGGGGUUUGCCUUCUGGGUCGAGCUCGUCGCACUAGGCUUGCUUAGUGCGGGUUACCUCUCUUGUGUGGUUUGCUAGCUAUUGCAAGGAGCGGGUGGUUUACCAUGUGCGCACCCAAAGGGUAGUGGCGGCGGGUUUCCCUUGUCAAAAAAAAAACAAAACAAAAAACAAAGUUGGUCACUACAGAUGCAGCUCGUAAAAGUUAUUUCAGGAAACAUACCUGACCUCAAGGUGGAAUAGAAGGAAAAUGAAACCUCCGAAGAAGGAAACUAUGACUAAUUAGACCUUUUGGUGACCAAAUGAAAACAUCACCGAAUGUGAGAUACAGUAUAGAAGUAGGUUUUGCAAACUGAUCCUCUGCAGCUAUUUUGAUUCCUCCAGAGAGCUUCAAAUCAACCGUUGAUAGCUAGGAUAUUUUUUUUACAUAUAUUUGUAGUUGCUUUCACUGUGAAGUAUUGUGCACCCUAUACUAGAUCAUGCACAUUGUGAGGCUAACUAUAGUAGACCAGGACUUUACAAUUCAUGUUUCAGUUUCCAGAGAGUGUGCGUGUACAAUAUUGGAAGAGUGCCUUGAUUGCACCAUAUGUAAGAUCUGUUUUUCAUGAAGGUUCAAAAUUCAUGUGCCAUUUAUGUGAGGUUUAACAAAGCACUCAAAAGAGAGACCUUUUCAAGUUUGUUAUAAAAAAGAGUGAAGUUUGAAGUUAGCUCCAACAUCCUACACCAUUCUGCCUGCCAUCCACCAGGUGCCAGCUCCUGAAAACAUGCCUUUCUUUUCUCGCUGAGUAGUUCAUCGCCAUGCCCCCUCUCCAUUCCCCGAGACAGAUUUCUUUAGGGUUUACUUGUUAUUGGUCUACGUAUAGACUUCUGAACAUCAUUGCUUUAACACUAAUAACUGUUAGAAAUGGACUGUGAAGGUAUGGUUUGUCUGACUUCAAUAUGUCGAGAGGAAGACUCAAUUACAAGUACAUUAGUAGAAGUAUCAUAGAUAUGUGACUUCUCCACUUUGACUUAUUAUUUCGUUCAAGUUGAGAUCUUUCCUCUACUUUGGAUUUCUUAAAUGCCGGACAUGUUUCUCUUUAUACUUUCAGAAGAGAGGCUUCUCGUGUACCUCUCUCUUGCCACU